CUAAACACACUCAACGAUCAUGUAUUUAAUUGAUAAGAACAUAAACAAUCUUUGAACGAAAUUUUAUUGUCGAGGCUUUGUCUGUGAUUGAAACGCAUAAACAGCUGUAGUAGUGGUUUCUACGAUGAAAACAUUUUAACUAGUGAGGUAUAGUGAAAGAAAUAUAUUUCUUAAUUUAUUUAUAUACGUUUAUAAGUGAACUGAAUUUGUUAUCACCAAAUGAGUCUUAUAAACGUUUGUUUUGUUAUCGCACUCUUUAGUGUUUAUCAAGUUAGGGGUGACGAAAACACUUUAAACUGUUACUACUGUGUUGACAAAUGUGAUUAUCCUUUUGAAGAAACAAGUUGUUGCUCUAAUGGUCGUGAUGGCGAAACAUUUAGCUGUAUCUCAUCAUUUACCAUAAUUGAGGGUACGCUCAUGGAACAAAAAGGCUGCGUUUCGAAUGACAACAGUGAUGUUAUAUGGGGUUGUGAAAAACUUAAUGAUAUGCAAGAUAGUUCAUGUCUUAUUUGCAAUAACGAUUUUUGUAAUUCUAGUACAAAAGUAACAAAUUCAGUAUUUAUUAUAUUAGGUUUAGCAUUAAAAUAUGUUUUUAACUA